AGACUUAAACCUCUGUUUCCCUUUUCUCCAUAUACAUAAAAUGAUAAACACCCCUGGGACGGCUAGGAUUUAUAUAGGCAGAUUUUUUGAAAGUUUGUCUUAUAUAUCUGGACUAUGGCUUAUAAAUCAAAUUUGGUUCUCUUUGCUGGAGAGUAAAUUAUUUAUCCAAGGCAGAGCACCAGGCGAUAGAAGGAGAGGCACAGAGAAGACACUGUUUUCCAGAAGUCAUUUAUAUUCCCCAAGAUGAGGAAGUGUCGGGGGUGGAAGUUUCUGAGUUACAGAUUCUGGCGUUCCUUCUUGAUUCGUGUGCUCUCUGCUGGUAGCCAUGGACUCCUGAAAUUGGCUUCCUCAUUAUGGAGCUGAUGGCCUCAGCAUCCUACAAGCGCAUCAGAACUCUGCCUGGCUUCUCGACAGGCAAUUACCUGGAACACCAGGUUCAAGGAUGGAGUGGAAGAUGAUGGAAGAGUGUGUUUUUGUGAGGAGGCCAGAAGACACUCAUAUUCGUUACAGCCCCAGGCACAGAGAGGUUCUCCGGUCCAGUCCUGCAGGUGAACUAAAGAUGCCUCCAGGGGCUGUGCUGAAAAUGGACCAGCUUGGGCCCAGCUUCUCUGUGCCUCUUCCUGACAGGGAGUGUCUCAACAGCAGAUGACUCCAAAGUCAAGGCCCGUAGAGUCAACUCAGAUUUUGAUAUGACUGCUCGGUCCCCAGAGCACUUUAGAAGAGUGAUUUGGAUAGGCCUUUGGCCCUCUGCCUCCUGGUUUUCUUACACUAUAAUCUUUAUAAUCCAUAAUAUCCUGUCCAUCAAACAACCUGCAACCCUUUUCUAAGAAUCUGAAAGUCACUUCUCUGGCCGGGCGCGGUGUCUCACGCCUGUAAUACUAGCACUUUGGGAGGCUGAGGUGGGCAGAUCAUUUGAGGUCGGAGUUCCAGACCAGCCUUGCCAAUAUGGUGAAACGCUGUCUCUACUAAAAAUACAAAAAUUAGCCAGGCAUAGUGGUGGGCGCCUGUAAUCCCAGCUACUCGGGGGACUAAGGCAUGAGAAUCGAUUGAAUCCGGGAGGCAGAUGCUGCAGUGAGCCAAGAUCGAGCCACUGUAAUCCAGCCUGGGCAACAGAGUGAGACUCGGCCUCAAAAAAUAAAAAUAAAAUAAAAAGUGACUUCUCUGCUUCUUCCAAAGCAAGAGAGAGUCCCCACUGGUCACUGGAUAAACUUGUGUGUUUCCGAGCGUUUUGGAUCAGAUUUAUUGGCACUUACUGGAAGCAAAAAAGAGCCUGGAGAUAGCUCUAUUUUAUUUCCAUGAUACCUAGUCCCCAGUUAUAUGACAACUCUAGACUGAGCCCAGCAUGUAGAAGCCAGAAACUCAUUGAGGUUUUUUUAUCCAAAUUAUUUGCUAUAAACAUGAGCUUCCUUUAGGCCAGAGAUUCACAAAUUUGGCUUCACAUUAGAAUUGGUUGGGGGCUAUAAAAAAUCUCCAUGCCCAGGUUGUUUCCAUCCCAUUUAAAUCGGUUUAAACAACGAUUAAUGCCUGGAGGUGGGUCCAGGCAUAGUUUUUAAAGCUUAGCAGUUGAUUGCAACGUCUACCAAGUUUGAAACACUGGCCCGAGGCUGUGGUUUUCAAUGAUGCCUGAACAUUGGAAUCACCUGGAGAUG
rnacentral:lncRNA from 10 species